AUGUUACUAUUACAUUAAACAAAAAAGAUGUAUAGUUUUACAUCAAACAAAUAAUAAGUAAAUACACAAUUAAAAAAUAGAAAUACUACAUUAAACAUAUAUCUUAAAAUGUAAAAAUUAAAUAUAUGUUAAUAUUAUGUAUAUUAAUGUAAAUUUAUUAUACGUAAUUUUACAUUAAAAUGUAAUUUUAUUUUCCAUUAAAAUGUAAUAAUGCCAUGUUUAUUAUGUAUAAUAAACUGUAUAUUUAUUAUGAUGCUAAAAUGUAAAAAUUAAAAAAUAGAAAUAUUACAUUAAACAUAUAUCUGAAAUAAUGUAUAGUUAACCAAGUGGUCUUGGCCUAGUGGUAAAGGGGUUCCAGCUGAAGCUUCCACCCUGGGUUUGAUUCUCCUUGGCCACCCAUAGAUGCCUUAAGUGGCAAGAAAACCCGGAUUUCUAUGGGCUUCUUGAUGAUUAGUCAUUGGGCCUAGAAAGCCUUUGGGAUCACACCAAGGUUUCCAAAAAAAAAAAGUAUAGUUUUACAUUUUAAUUAUUUUCAAAUAUUUUAAAGAAAUGGUUACAUCAAAAUAUUAGUAAAUAUUAAAUUAAACAUAUAUCUGAAAUAAUGUAUAGUGUUAUAUUUUAAUUAUUUCCAAAUAUUACAUCUAUCUGAAAAAAAACAAAUUAGAAUAAGUAAAUAUAAAAUUUUAGAAAAUAAUACGAAGUAAAAAUACAAUACAAGAAAUGAAAAUAUUACAUUAAAUAUCUAUUUGAAAAUGUGUAGUUUUACACUUUUAUUAUUUCCAAAUAUUUAUCUCGCUCUGAGAUACAUCGCUAUAAAAUCUAUUUUCCCACCAACAUCAACCUCACACACAUCAAAAAAGACUCCAGCAAAAAAAAAAAUUCCUCCACCAUCGAUCCUUGCCGUCCCAAAAACGGUCGACGACAUAUGUCGAUGUGUGGUGUUACUUCUAUGAACUAAAUCAGAUCAGCAAGACAAUAUUGGGAGCAGACCAACGGAUCUCAGGAGAAAAUUCUUAAAUUUAUAUAUGAUGAGUACAAAGCUUUGGAGGUGAUUUGGAAAUAAGCACUAUAUGAUGAUUUACUUAUUAACAAUGUAAAUGAAGAAAACUUGGAAGGUACUGGCUUGGCAAUUCAUUCAGCUCAACUCUGCUAUGGGGGAUGCCCCCUCUCAGCUAAAAACAGCAGAUACCCCCAAUAGUGCAGCUUUAAGGACCGACAAAGUUGAGGUACAACCUAAAUAACAUCAAUGAAUAUAUUUGCACACGUUAUUUAAAAUGUGUUUUCCAUUUAGCAAACUCUAAUAAUCAGUAGUCACACAUGAAUAAUUCAUGGUUCCAUCGUGUCUUAUACGUGAACAUAAUUGCACUAACAUUUGAAUUGUCUUGAAGAUUCUGCUGCAAUUGAGUAUGAUCUAAUGUACAUUUGAACUGAUAAAAUAAAUUGAUUGUUGCAGCUACUUCUCAAUCUUCAGUCUAAUGAUUCUUCUCAACUAUCCCAUGUCAGAAAAAGAAACAAAAAUGUAGGAGAUAAUAUGUUUUAAGAAAGUUGAAAUCCUUGUAUAUUUUAUAAUAGUACAUAAAACUAAAUAAACUAUUUGAUUUGUCAUAUAAGGUAAAUGCAUUGUAUUUAUCUUAUGUAUAUUAAUUUAUAAGAUUUUUUGUGAUUAUCUAAAGUUACAUUUAUGAAUUUUGAAAUUAAAAUUAGUUACGAUUUGGCUUUUCAUAAAAUAAAUAGAACAAUGUUAUCACACAUUUGAACAAAAUAUGUUAUACCAUAAAAUAGAUAUGAGAAUACAAAAUUUAUUAUCCUGAUCAUGGUUCCCUUACAAAGUUAUUAAACUUUUGUACUUUGAAUAAGGGUUUAUGAUAUAACGACUGAUAGAAUAUCACUGACACAUGAUACAAAUACACAUGAGCUUUUAUUAUAUGGUAUAUAGCAGUAUAUAUGAAUUUAUGUUUUCGAUAUCAUAAUGUGACACUAUCUGUAAAUGGCGUAAGAUAGAAGAACGUUAAGAUAUAUUUAGUUUUGAAAUUAAGUAAACCAAACUGAGCACAAAUCAUAACUGACAAAUUUCAAUUAAUUUGCUUUGAUAUUAUAUAUUGGAUCUAUUAAAAGGUAAAAAAAUCAAAAGAUAAAUAAAAUCAUUUAUUAUGAUAUAGUUAGAGAAAUACAAGGGAAGACCAAAAAAAAAAGUUAGUCUAAUGAAAGGUCUAAACAAGUUUCGUAGGUAGAUUUUUUAGGAGUUCUUUCCUUUUAAUAGUAUAGAUUCAUACGCCCACUACGAGAUCUUCAAUUGCGUUGUUUCGUGGCGAUAUCGGGUAUAAAUAGGUUCAUAUCCCUCUUUUGAGAAUCUGCGAUCUCAACAUCUCUCUGCCACUCAUCUCUUAUACUCAUCUCUCUUUAUGGCUGAUUGUUCUGAGUUAUUAUUUCCCGGCGAACUGUUAUUAUUUUCCUGUGAACUUUGUCCUGUUUAUUAGCACAGAUAUUGUUUUCUGGUUGGGAGGACAGAAAUUGUCAAUAAACGCGGCGAGCAAAAAUCAAUAUCUUUCCUUUUUUUUUCUGAUGAUAUUUAAGCUUUAUAGUAUACAAUACCACUAACUAUUUGCUUUACCUUUUUCGAUCCUGAUGUUGUGUUAAGAGUAUGAUGCAGUAUCUACGUUUGUAUGAGAUGAUCAUGGGAGUAUUUAGGUAAACUUAAAUCCCACAUUUUUUUUCAGGCUACACUUUCAGGGCUGUGACUUUGUAUGUGGUUCAUGGUGGGCACAGAUUAGCUUUGGAGAAGAACGAACAACGAUUGAUGCAAAAGGUUUUGGUUCAUCAAAUGGCGUCUUCGUUAGCUAAAGAUUCAAAGUUUGUUGUUGCUCUUGCGGCUGCUACUGGGAGUUGAUGGAGAGGUGUAGAACAUGAAGCUUUCAUUGGAUGUUUUUGUUUUGGUUUCUCAUCCAUCGAAAACGGGAUGGCUUUUUCUACUCUAUCGAAUUUUAGGUGUAACUUGGAAAAAUAUGAAAACUGAAGUGAAAAUCAUAUGCAUUCAAGAAAAUUUAAUUGCCAUUUGUUUUAAGUGAUUAGAAGAAGGUUGAUUCAGUUGAAACAACCAAGGGAAAAGAUUUGUGAAAAUAUGGUCAUCGCUUGGAAGCAAGACAUCCCUUAUCAAACAUGCUACAAUAAUACAAUGAUCUGUUAUCUC